AACGCACAUUGCGCCCCUUGGUAUUCCAUUGGGCAUGCCUGUUCGAGCGUCAUUUAAACCCUCAAGCUCCGCUUGGUGUUGGGCGUUUUGUCUACGGACUCGCCCCAAAUCUAUUGGCAGCAGCCUCACCGGCUUCUUGCGCAGUACAAUGCGCUUUAAGAAGCUUGUGUAGUGGUAUGCAAUCCAGUAAGCAAUUCUUUAUUUUGACCUCGAAUCAGGUAGGGAUACCCGCUGAACUUAA
rnacentral:misc_RNA from 1 species